rnacentral:misc_RNA from 1 species
AAUCGCCUCCCUUAUCAUACCCGUGCAACACACACUUGCGACACCCUCUCUUUAAUAUUUGUUUUUUUUUCUGUAACAACAACACAGAAACGCCGUUGCGUGCUGCGAAGCAUACUCCUUUGUCUUGUGUGCUUACGGUGACCAUGGGGCUCGACAUUCAGCUGUUCCGCGAUCCCGAGAUGGCGGAUAUAGUGCGCGAGUCGGAGCGCCGCCGCUACGCCAGGCCGGAGAUCGUCGAUGAUAUCAUAGAGAUUGACAAGCGCUGGCGCCGCACGCAGUUUCUAACGGAAGCCAGCAAGAAAAUGAUCAACACUUGCAGCAAAGCCGUCGGCGCCAAGAAGAAGGCAAAGGAGGCGGACGGCGACGUCUCUGAAGUGCCGGCAGAUGUCAUGAGCGCCGCCCGGGAAGGCACAUUAGACACGGAGAAGCUGGAGUCGUUGUGCAUUCUCCAGCUAAAGCAGCUGUCCAAGGCACUGGCGACGCAGGUGGAGAGUCUUGCAAAGCUGGCCGCGGAGCAGGAAGCGGAGCGGGAUCGUAUGGUGAUUAGCGUUGGCAACGUCUUGCACGAGUCUGUCCCGGUCUCGAACGACGAGGAAACCGGCAACGUGGUCGUGCGCACCUUUGGUGACGUGACGCGCCGCUUGAAGAUGACGCAUGUAGACUGCAUGGAGCGUCUGGGACUUAUGGACACGUCCAAGGCGGUAACCGCAAUGGCGGGUGGCCGCGCAUUUGUUCUGCGUGGUGGCCUCGUACAGCUGCAAUUCGCCCUCAUCUCGUACGCGCUCAACUUCCUCAUCGCCCGCGGCUACGAGCCCUUCUACCCGCCCUUCUUCCUCAACAAGGAGUAUAUGGGUGCAGUGGCGCAGCUUUCUGACUUUGACGAGUCGCUCUACAAGGUUUCCGGCGACGGGGACGAGAAGUACCUGAUUGCGACGAGCGAGGCACCCAUUGCCGCCUACCACACCAACAAGUGGUUCACCGAAAUGAAGGAGCCGAUCAAGUACGCCGGCGUCUCGUCGUGCUUCCGAAAGGAGGCCGGUGCGCACGGCCGCGACACGCUCGGCAUCUUCCGCGUCCACCAGUUCGACAAACUGGAGCAGUUUGUUGUGUGCUCUCCUCGCGAAGAUCAGUCGUGGAAGAUGCUGGAAGAGAUGAUCCAGACCUCCCAGGACUUCAACGAGAGCCUCGGUCUGCCGUACCGCGUCAUCAACAUCUGCUCUGGGGCCCUCAACAAUGCUGCUGCCAAGAAGUACGACCUGGAGGCGUGGUUCCCCGGCUCUGGUGCAUUCCGCGAGCUUGUUUCGUGCUCGAACUGCACGGACUACCAGGCCCGCAGUGUUAACUGCCGCUUCGGCCCGAACACAAAGGGCAGCACAGCGAACAGCACGAAGGAAUACUGCCACAUGCUGAACGGUACUCUCUGCGCUGUCACUCGCACAAUGUGCUGCAUCUGCGAAAACUACCAGACCGAGGAAGGCAUCGUAAUCCCCGAGGUACUGCGCCCCUUUAUGAUGGGGACGGAGAUGCUCAAGUUCCCGGCAGAAGCCCCUACGGCCGAUAAGGAGUAAGAGCCUUCAGUGGGAUGUGAUCAGUGCAACAGCAGCGGGCCAUCCACGCUGACCAGAGCGUUGGCGUGCGGGUCUUUUCACUCUACCUCCCCCCCCAUUGUCAUUUCUUAGCGACGCAGAAAUGUGAAGCGAAAAAUAAGUGCGUCUCUCUCGCCCCUUCCCCCUCGUCCUCCGGUCUCGGAUGGUGGAGAGAUCAUCAUCCUUUUAGCGGGGCUUUCCCAUCUCAUCGUCGGAUCCUCGCUGCCGAGAACAGGCGACAAAAUGUUUUUCGCCAGCGACGCCACCGCAAGCAGGGAACCCCUGAUGGUGCUCUCUUGCGCUCUCCUCGUUUUGUUGUUUUCCUCUAUGCUUUGCAGCUCCGCGCUUGUCGCUCAAGGACCAGCGAGCGCGCGACGUGCCCUUGGUCACACACAUGGCUGGGGGUGCUCAGCAGUGGCACAAGUGUCAUUGGGAAAGACGGAGGUAGGGGGAAGGGGAGAGGUCUUCUACGCGUUAUCGCCUCACAGCAUCGAGCAGCCAUUCGCAUGCCCAUCUCUCCUUUUCUUUUUCGGCCGAUUUGCACAGCCGACGAGUCGCUAGGCAGUGGCACAUCAAACCGGAAGUAAGCCCUAGCAAUUCAAGCGACGACGUGCCCAAUGCGAGUGUGGGUGCAUCGGUACACGACGCCUCUUUCUUGAUAUAUACGCACACAGCUGUCUUGCAUUUCCCUCGUCUUCCCGACCUUGAGCGGAUCGCGCGUUAGCUGCAUAUGCGUUGUCUAUGUGAAAAGCAGCAACACGAGGAAGACCGCAAGACAUCCCAGGUGCGCCCUAGUCGGUGCUCGCGCAUACUGGGUUGCAUGCAGCAGCGAACACAAACUCACACCACACUAUACACGACCGUGCCGAUACCGACCAAGGAGGAGGAGCAGCUUUUUCCUAAUUUUACUGUGAUUGUUACCGCGCCCCCUUUCGUGCGUGGUUGUCGGCAGACUGAGGGAAAAAGACCGUGCAUGGCUGCAUGUGUGACUAGCUGCGCCUACCAUGAUUCUCUUCGGAGCUAGUUUU